rnacentral:rRNA from 1 species
UACAGAGGUCUCAAGCGUUGUUCGGAUUCAUUGGGCGUAAAGGGUGUGUAGGUGGCGCGCUGAAGUCGGGUGUGAAAUUUCGGAGCUUAACUCCGAAACUGCAUUCGAUACUGGCGUGCUUGAGGACUGGAGAGGAGACUGGAAUUCAUGGUGUAGCAGUGAAAUGCGUAGAGAUCAUGAGGAAGACCAGUGGCGAAAGGCGGGUCUCUGGGACAGUUCCUGACACUGAGACACGAAGGCCAGGGGAGCAAACGGG